UGGGGAAUAUUGGACAAUGGGGGCAACCCUGAUCCAGCCACGCCGCGUGAGUGAUGAAGGCCUUCGGGUCGUAAAGCUCUGUGGGGAGGGACGAAUGCUCCGGCGAAGAGCCGGAGGUGACGGUACCUCCUUAGCAAGCACCGGCUACCUUCGUGCCAGCAGCCGCGGUAAUACGAAGGGUGCAAACGUUGCUCGGAAUCAUUGGGCGUAAAGCGCACGUAGGCGGCCUAGUAAGUCGGAUGUGAAAUCCCUCGGCUCAACCGAGGACGUGCAUACGAAACUGCUGGGCUUGAGUACAGAAGAGGAUCGCGGAAUUCCCGGUGUAGAGGUGAAAUUCGUAGAUAUCGGGAGGAACACCAGUGGCGAAGGCGGCGAUCUGGGCUGAUACUGACGCUGAGGUGUGAAAGCGUGGGGAGCAAA
rnacentral:rRNA from 1 species